rnacentral:rRNA from 1 species
UCCAGACUCCUACGGGAGGCAGCAGUGAGGAAUAUUGGUCAAUGGGCUUACGCCUGAACCAGCCAAGUCGCGUGAGGGAAGACUGCCCUAUGGGUUGUAAACCUCUUUUGCCGGGGGACAAACGGCGGCACGCGUGCCGUCCUGAGGGUACCCGGAGAAAAAGCAUCGGCUAACUCCGUGCCAGCAGCCGCGGUAAUACGGAGGAUGCGAGCGUUAUCCGGAUUUAUUGGGUUUAAAGGGUGCGUAGGCGGGAUGCCAAGUCAGCGGUCAAAUACGGGGGCUCAACCUGCGUCCGCCGUUGAAACUGGCGUUCUUGAGUGGGCGAGAAGUAUGCGGAAUGCGUGGUGUAGCGGUGAAAUGCAUAGAUAUCACGCAGAGCUCCGAUUGCGAAGGCAGCAUACCGGCGCCCAACUGACGCUGAAGCACGAAAGCGUGGGUAUCGAACAGGAUUAGAUACCCGGGUAA